rnacentral:rRNA from 1 species
UGGCGGACGGGUGAGUAACACGUGAGGAAGUUGUCCAUCGGUGGGGGAUAACUAGCCGAAAGGUUAGCUAAUACCGCAUACGAUCUAUGAGGGGCAUCUCUUAUAGAUGAAAGGAGCAAUCCGCUUUCGGACGGGACCGCGUCCCAUUAGCUAGAUGGUGGGGUAAUGGCCUACCAAGGCGUUGAUCAGUAGCUGGUCUGAGAGGAUGGUCAGCCACACUGGGACUGCGACACGGCCCAGACUCCUACGGGAGGCAGCAGCAAGGAAUUUUCGGCAAUGGGGGCAACCCUGACCGAGCAACGCCGCGUGGAGGAUGAAGGUUUUCGGAUUGUAAACUCCUUUUUGGUGGGAAGACUAAAAGAAGGACGGUACCACCAGAAUAAGCCUCGGCUAACUCCGUGCCAGCAGCCGCGGUAAUACG